rnacentral:rRNA from 1 species
GACAGAGGGGGCAAGCCUUGCUCGGAAUUACUGGGCGUAAAGGGCGCGUAGGCGGGAUGGCAAGUCGGUCGUGAAAUCCCUCGGCUCAACUGAGGAACGUCGAUCGAUACUGCCGUUCUUGAGGGUUGCAGAGGAGACUGGAAUUCCCGGUGUAGCGGUGAAAUGUGUAGAGAUCGGGAGGAACACCGGUGGCGAAGGCGGAUCUCUGGGCCAUUACUGACGCUGAGGAGCGAAAGCGUGGGGAGCGAACAGG